AGCUGGACCUGUAGUCAGCCUACUGGGAUUUCAAGUGAAAUCGGACACGACUCUGACAAUUGCUAUUUCUGCCAACAACACCCAAUGUGUCAACCUCGAGGUCCAGGAAACUCAUAUCAAUGUCAAGAAAGUGACCCUUCAGAUAGAAGAGAUGAUCACAGGCAUUGUGCCUGUGCCUAUCCCUAUACCUUUGCCCUUGGGAGACCUCAUCCUUCAACUGUUGUCAGUGGAGCUGAAUAAAAAGGUAAGUGCUGGGGAGGAGGGGGCACCCCCUCAAAGGCCCGCACCAUUAGGGUUACAUGAGGAGAAGCCUUGCCUCAGAGGGCCUGACGCUGAGAAAGACUUAGGAAGGAGGCCCAGGCCCUCCAGAGACCCUCACUAUGGGACAAGCAGGACCUCUGGCCAAAAUGGCUCACCAGCAAGAAGAUGACCCCUGAGGGAGGGAGGGAUUACUUCUGCCAAGGAGGCCAAGAAAAUAGGAGCGGGAAAGGGAAGGAGGACAGGGAAGAAAAGGAGGUGGGCUGAGGGAGACGGCUAAGGUGGCGCUCGGUUGGGAAAGUCCUGGGGAUGACUUCACAGGUGCAAGAAACGGACUCCUGUGACAUUGUUCUCAAUGACUUCAACGACUGCAAGAACUGUGAGUACAAAUGCUCACCUCCUUGGGGAAGCCACCAUCAGUGGAGAGAGAUGGUCGAGGUUUCUUAAGGGAUUCCCCGGGGUGACCAACCAGAGGGCUGGAGGCUCUGA
rnacentral:lncRNA from 1 species